UACGGAGGGGGCGAGCGUUGUUCGGAAUUACUGGGCGUAAAGGGUUCGUAGGCGGUUUAAUAAGUUAGAUGUGAAAGCCCGGGGCUCAACCUCGGAAUAGCAUUUAAAACUGUUAAACUAGAAUCAUAGAGAGGAUAGCGGAAUUUCCAGUGUAGAGGUGAAAUUCGUAGAUAUUGGAAGGAACACCAGAGGCGAAGGCGGCUAUCUGGCUAUGUAUUGACGCUGAGGAACGAAAGCGUGGGGAGCAAACAGG
rnacentral:rRNA from 1 species